rnacentral:rRNA from 1 species
AUGCAAGUUUUACGGCAGGACAUAAGAGCUUGCUCUUUGGGUGGCGAGUGCCCCCCACGGGUGAGUAAUGUCUGGGAAACUGCCCGCCCCCCAGGGGGAUAACUACUGGAAACGGUAGCUAAUACCGCAUAACGUCGCCAGACCAAAGUGGGGGACCUUCGGGCCUCACACCAUCGGAUGUGCCCAGAUGGGAUUAGCUAGUAGGUGGGGUAAUGGCUCACCUAGGCGACGAUCCCUAGCUGGUCUGAGAGGAUGACCAGCCACACUGGAACUGAGACACGGUCCAGACUCCUACGGGAGGCAGCAGUGGGGAAUAUUGCACAAUGGGCGCAAGCCUGAUGCAGCCAUGCCGCGUGUAUGAAGAAGGCCUUCGGGUUGUAAAGUACUUUCAGCGGGGAGGAAGGCGGUGAGGUUAAUAACCUCGCCGAUUGACGUUACCCGCAGAAGAAGCACCGGCUAACUCCGUGCCAGCAGCCGCGGUAAUACGGAGGGUGCAAGCGUUAAUCGGAAUUACUGGGCGUAAAGCGCACGCAGGCGGUCUGUUAAGUCAGAUGUGAAAUCCCCGGGCUUAACCUGGGAACUGCAUUUGAAACUGGCAGGCUUGAGUCUCGUAGAGGGGGGUAGAAUUCCAGGUGUAGCGGUGAAAUGCGUAGAGAUCUGGAGGAAUACCGGUGGCGAAGGCGGCCCCCUGGACGAAGACUGACGCUCAGGU